UGGGGAAUUUUGUACAAUGGGGGAAACCCUGAUCCAGCCAUCCCGCGUGUGCGAUGAAGGCCUUCGGGUUGUAAAGCACUUUUGGCAGGAAAGAAACGUCAUGGGUUAAUACCCCGUGAAACUGACGGUACCUGCAGAAUAAGCACCGGCUAACUACGUGCCAGCAGCCGCGGUAAUACGUAGGGUGCAAGCGUUAAUCGGAAUUACUGGGCGUAAAGCGUGCGCAGGCGGUUCGGAAAGAAAGAUGUGAAAUCCCAGAGCUUAACUUUGGAACUGCAUUUUUAACUACCGGGCUAGAGUUUGUCAGAGGGAGGUGGAAUUCCGCGUGUAGCAGUGAAAUGCGUAGAUAUGCGGAGGAACACCGAUGGCGAAGGCAGCCUCCUGGGAUAACACUGACGCUCAUGCACGAAAGCGUGGGGAGCAAACAGG
rnacentral:rRNA from 1 species